rnacentral:rRNA from 1 species
UACGUAGGGUGCGAGCGUUGUCCGGAAUUAUUGGGCGUAAAGAGCUCGUAGGCGGUGUGUCACGUCGGCCGUGAAAACCUGGGGCUUAACUCUGGGCGUGCGGUCGAUACGGGCAUCACUAGAGUUCGGCAGGGGAGACUGGAAUUCCUGGUGUAGCGGUGAAAUGCGCAGAUAUCAGGAGGAACACCGGUGGCGAAGGCGGGUCUCUGGGCCGAUACUGACGCUGAGGAGCGAAAGCCAGGGGAGCAAACGGG